rnacentral:rRNA from 1 species
CCUACGGGAGGCAGCAGUGAGGAAUAUUGGUCAAUGGACGCAAGUCUGAACCAGCCAUGCCGCGUGCAGGAAGACGGCUCGAUGAGGUGUAAAAUGCUUUUGUACGAGGGUAAAAGCAGAUACGCGUAUCUGUCUGAAAGUAUCGUACGAAUAAGGAUCGGCUAACUCCGUGCCAGCAGCCGCGGUAAAACGGAGGAGUCAAGCGUUAUCCGGAUUUAUUGGGUUUAAUGGGUGCGUAGGCGGGCGGAUAAGUUAGAGGUGAAAUCCCGAGGCUCACCUUCGGAAUUGCCUCUGAUCCUGUUCGGCUAGAGCGUAGUUGCGGUAGGCGGAAUGUAUGGUGUAGCGGU